rnacentral:misc_RNA from 2 species
AACGCACAUUGCGCCCCUUGGUAUUCCAUGGGGCAUGCCUGUUCGAGCGUCAUUUGUACCUUCAAGCUUUGCUUGGUGUUGGGUGUUUUGUCCUCUCCUUGGUGUUUGGACUCGCCUUAAAACAAUUGGCAGCCAGUGUUUUGGUAUUGAAGCGCAGCACAAGUCGCGAUUCUGACCUAAUAACACUUGCAUCCACAAGUCUUUUUUAACUUUUGACCUCGGAUCAGGUAGGGAUACCCGCUGAACUUAA